UUUUUGUUUAGAAAUGAGGUCUCACUUCCAUACUAGCCAAACAGUAUUGAAAAGUAAAUACAAAAUUAGAGGAGUGGCACUUCUUGAUCAAGGCAAUGUGGUAGUGGCAUAAGGAUAGACAUAUAGAUCAGUGGAAUAGAACUGAGAGUCUAGCAAAAAACUCCCAUUUACAGUCAAUUGAUCUUUGACAAAGGUGCCAAGACAAUUCAAUGGGGGAAAGAAUGCUCUUUUCAAAAAGUGGUGCUGGGACAAGUGGAUAAAGCUAUGAAACUCCUGGAAGAAAACAUAGAGGUAAGUCUUUGUGAUCUUAGACUAGGCAACAGCUUCUCAGAUAUGACAGCAGAAGUACAAACAGUGAGAGAAAAACCAAAUGAAUUGGACCUCAUCAAAAUUAAUAACUUUUUGUCUUAUCUACUAUGUGCCAGGCACUGUGCCAGGUACGCUAGGACAGUUAUCUCAUUUAAUCUUCAUCGCAUCCUUGCAGGGACAAAAUGUCAUGUCAUCCACACUUGGAGAUGAGAAAAUCAAGGUUCAGGUGGGUUAAAUAUCUCGUCUAAGGUUAAACCAGGAUUCCUGAGCCCAGUCCAGUGCUCUUCCCAUCACCCCCAAGAGCUGUUGCCCACUGUUGGCUUUCACUCAUGAUCAAAAAAAUGUCCACACCCACUGCCAGCUAAGAAAGCACUUGGCUUUUACCUAACAGUGGAAAAAGAAGCUUGCCCCCUUUGGAGACCAAUUUAUUAGACAGCACUAACUGGCUACAGUUCAGGUUGGGCACAUGACGCAGGCUACUCAGCAGGCAUGGCAGCAUCUGCCUGGCAGCAAGCGCUGGGACAAAAUUCCAUCCUCUAGAGACAUCCUGGGCCAUGUUAAUCUCUGCCUAAGACAGGAAUGACUCUUCAGCCCAGGUGCCAUCUAUUCAAAUAGGAGGUUCAUUGACUACUGGGCAUAUUUGUUUUCCUUGAGGUGAGAGGAGAAUGGGGUGAGAUGAUCAGGAAAUAAACAGAAGACUGUAGAAAGAACUUUUAAAGUAAGUGAUCUUAGUAGUUAUCCUAGAGAGACACUCCCACGUGAGCACACAGAGGCAUGGAUAAGUAUGUUCCUUGCAAUAUUGCUUGUGUAACCGGAAAAUUGAAAACAACCUAAAUGCCCAUCAAUAGGGGACAGGAUUAGAAAUUACUUGCACUGAUACUAUGAGAAAUAUUGAGGUAGAUCUAUAGGUACUGACUGGCAUGGACAGAGCUCCCAGACAUACUGUGGAGUGAAAAAAAUCAAGUUGUAGAAAUAUACAUACAAUAUGAUGAUACCAUGGAUAUACCAAAAAAGACCACACAUGCUAAUCCUAUGUAUUACAUUGAGUAAAUGUAUGUCUGAGUGUAAAUGUGCAGACAAAAGACAGGUAACAGUGUUUACUCUGGAGAUGAGGCUGCCAUUGGGGAUGGCGGGCAGAGGACUAUAGCUUUAUCUAUAAUUAUUUAUUUAUUUUACUCCAACUAUGUAUUCCCAUAUUUCUUGUGCAAUUAAAAGUUAUGAAAAUUUUAAAACAAAAAUUUAAACACAAAAAGUAAUAAAUAAAGGUAAGGUUGUUACAGUUGUAGAGGAAGUUGAAAGCUUAUUCCUCUAAAUGAUUUCAACUAACGAUUUAAUCUUCACAGCAACUCUUUCCAGAGUGAGGGGGAUGAUAUAGAGAGAAGGUUGGUGAUGGGAAGAUUAGCUAAGAUCAGUAAUAGACCUUCUGAAAUGGAGGAAGAAGAGAAGAUAUGAAGAUUCAGAGAACUUAAGAGCUGGAAGACAAUUUCAAGAUUGUCUGGUCCAAUCCCUCCUUUUUCAGGCAAGGGGGUUGGAAACUAGAGGCGAAGUGACUUGUCCAAUGUCAAAGGGUCAGCUAGUAGCAGAGAAGGACAGAAACCCUGACCCCCUCAUCUCUGGCCCUGCCCUGUCCCACCUGGCUAUGGAGGCAGGCAUGUUAGCAAGCAGCUGUGUGCUGUGUUUACCUGUCUGCCUCUACGCUGUCUCCUGGUUCUCAAGCCACCAAUGAAUACUGAGGUUUCUGGGAUUCUUGCUUUUCCUGCCUCAGUUCUGUAUUUACUUCUUUAUUUCUCUGAAUCCACCCUCCACCCCUUGACUUCCUACAGUCUCUCUCUGUCCUUCUUAUCCCUGAACUCCAGUGGCCACAGGGGCUUUCCCUACCUUGGGCCAUGGUAGCUGCCUCCGGUUCCUGGGAUGCUCCCCACAGAACAGCUGGGCGGUCUGGAGCUUCAGCAAACUGGUGCCAGAGUGUCUACUUCCCCUUCCAUUGGAAGCCUCCAGGAGAACCGAAGGCGGGGCUGGACUGCUGCACUGCCACCUGAUUACCGAGCAGAUCACAACUGGUUUGCUCACUUGCC
rnacentral:lncRNA from 1 species